GUGAGGUACAGUGGAGGGACUCCAGCUUGCAACAGAGGCUUAAUUCAGCCUGGCAUAGUGGGCACCCAGGCAGCAGAAGGCCCAGAAAGACAUAAUAGAAAGUGAGUAGUAGCAGUAGUAGUAGUAGUAGUAGUAAUAAUAAUAAUAAUAAUAAUUAAGAUAAUAAGAAUAACAGUCAAAAUAAUAAUCAUAAUAUCAGCACAUUAGUAUUAUUUAUUACUAUCAUUUAUUAUUGUUGUUGUUAUUGUUAUUAUUGUUAUUAUCAUUAUUAUAGAUUUAUUUUGCCCAUACGUUAUUUUCACAUUAGUAGAAAGUCAUACAUUAUGUGACACCCCUGGACAAUGGAGGCGGACCUAUAAUUUGAACCAUCGACUUUCUGGACCUUCCAGUCAGCAAGUCCAGAACCAUGACUGCUGAAUUACCAUUGCGCCACUGAAGAACCACCACAGUAGUGCUUGGGCCCUCUUGUGCUCCUGUGCUGAAGAAAUUAGUUUGAAACUAGACAACCUGAACCUGUGUGCUUCUGCUGCUGCUUUCAUCCCGAAAAGAACCUAAGCGGUAUCAGAUAUCCCAGUGCUCUCCGUGUGGAGGAUUUGUAGGACAUUGAGACAUCUGUCUGCCACGUUCGGCUAGGGACCUAUAGUUUUCCCUGGCAGUUGACAAUCAUGGUGUAGUAAAAUAUUAUGUUUACUUGUUAAUGUUUUAUUGUCAUUUAAUCUCAUCUAAGUGGUGUAACCAUUCAUUUUAAUAUGUAAAGGCCUAAUUGAUGUCUCCAUACAUUUUAUGACUCCAUAAGACUCAAUAAGUAUUUGUCUCCAGAAUGCAAGUCAUCAACGAGUCAAACAAAUUUAAUGGCAGAACUCGUGUGUCAUGUUCUAAAGGUACAGAAACGUGGCCAUAAUGCAAUGUUAAGCUUCUGCUAUGAAUGCAGAAGUAUCAUGUAUCUUAUGAGUAUCUUACGGGAGAGCAUAGAAGACUCGCACUGUAACGUCAUGUAUUUUAAUGGCUGCUAAUAAGAUGUGUAAGCUCUCAGCAAUUUAACAUCGUCGUCAUUGAGACACCAUAUGAUGCUGCUUUACGAUACAGCAAAAACUGCCACUGGUGGGGAGCUGUACUGAAAUAUCCCCACUCUGUAAGCUUCACUCAUCAGGAAGUGUGUAAAGACUCAGACAGCCUUUGUGUGAUUGUAUAAGCACUCCGGAUCAAGAGGAAUUUUUGCUUGCCGACUUUGACAAAUGAGGUCAGGGCCUGAGUUUCCCAAAAGAAACAUUCUGUAGAUAACAGUUAAAAUAGUGUGCAAGAUGCAUUGAGUAGUUUCUUAAAAGCUUUUUAAAUCGAAAUCAUUAUUCAUUUUAAGAUCAUUUAUAACACAUUUUUUGGGAACUUUUUGGCUCAGAUGGUUAUACCCUAACCCUAUCUAAUGUCAAAUUUACUGAAAUGGCAGAUGUAAUUUUAACCAAAGUUGACUUUAUAGUCCAGUAACUGUUACAAAUUGGCAUUAGUAAGAUGUUGGGUACACUCGAUAUUUCCACAAUCAGCGCUUUCUAAAACAGAACCUGAGACUGAUUGUGUCUCCUCUGUCUCCAGGAGCAAUUAUAAUGCUACAAAGUGAUGCAAAAAAAAAAGAUAAAUUCUUCCACAAGCCUUGAGGAGACACUGAUAAACAGAGUAGAAAAGUAAAAUAUCUGCAGAGGAUUCCAGUGCAAUCUUGGAGCCGCUAAACAUGUGAAACAUGCUUUGCAGUACGUCAAUGUUAAUUGGUGCGAUUUAUUAAGAGAUCAUUCUCAUAGUUGAGGGGGGAAAAGGGAUUUUUGACUGAGCUACCUGGGCUUGGUCCUGGGUUAACACCUUUUUGUUAUUUAAUAUGUGUAUAUUUUAUUAUAUAUCAUUGGACCUCCCAUUACCGAGACAUUUCAAAGCCAAUAUAGGAAGUUUUCCGGCUUCUUAAUUGCUGAAAUGGCACAACGAAGCUUCAUUAUAAUGCAUUUGAAUGUCAUAUCUAUACUGUAUAUGUGUCUCCUUCUACCACUAUGCAUUGUUAAUGUUUAUGUCCAACGAUAAAGCAUGGAAGCAUCUCUCCGGGUUCUUCAUCAGUUUAAUUGUCAAGGAGGGAGUGUUUAACUGUGUAAAGGUGGGAGGCUUUUUCCUGUGUGUGAAUUGAUCUGUUGUAAUUUCUGUCUUCAUGGCAGCGCCAGUUGGUAUUUAAUCCUGUUAUUUACAUUAUGUAGUGUGAUUGUGAUUUUUUUUUUUUUUUUUUUUUUUAAUUAUUAUUAUUUUGGUUGCAGCAUUUUGGAGUUGCUUUCAGUUAUGUGAUUUUUAUAUGCAGUUCUUCAGAGUCUUGUUUUCUGAAAAAUAAGCCCCAAUCGGCCGUUACAUUAUAUAUAAUUGUGAAAAAAGUUAAUGCCACAAUGAAAGAGCCAAGCCAGUCACAACAUUCAUUUUAUUCUGUUUUUGUAAUUUUAUUGCUUCUCAUAUUUUGUACUUUACUUUUCCCAUGGUAGCACUAAAUUUAAUCACCGAAACUUUAAACCUGAACAAGAUAUCCCCGGUAUUUUGUAUAUUAAAAGAGGAUACCUAGAGGGUCGUAGUUUAUACUGUACUUUAUUAUCAGAUCCUCUUAGUGCAGUCAUUAUUUGUUCUGCUUUCAAAAUGUAGCCUGCAUAAACCACUGUUCAAUCUGUUUUUGUUGUAUUUUGUUUUAAUUUAUCCUCAGAACACUUAGGUGUUCUGAUGUGCCCAUACUAUAUUGUCUACUUCUUCCUAUAAGCUAACAAUGAUGUGUCCUAAUUAAAAGGAAAAAAAAUUGCCUUACCAUCUGCGAGCUGUCAGUAAAUCACUGAAUCAUAAACUCAAACCAUAGCACUCCCUCUGCCAUAGUGUGUCACAUUUUUCCAUAUUGCAUAUAAAGUGAGUCAGUGGAAGAGAGAUGUUUUUAUAGACAGGUUGUGUUUCAGAUAAUAAAGAUUGGAUUGAGAUGUCAUCUCUAGAGAAAGUAGUUUUUCGCCUAUUAAAUGACAAAAUAAUUUUUGCUGUUUAACUCGAGAGUUCAUUAUGAGACUUAGAUGGACUGUGAAUAAGAAAAUGUGUGUUAUUUACUUCAGUAAACACGUCAAAAACAACCAGAGAGCCCUAGAGGAACCUGUGUGUGUUCUGUAAUAAUCGCAGCAGUUCUUAGUAGUUUCCAUCACUGUGUCAUAAGUGAUGCGGCAGGAGUCCCACAGCUUGUCAGACUCCAUCUGAAAAUCCAAAGGGAUGUUUCCAAAGCCUAACAUUACCUCCAGACCUGCUGGAAAUGAAGACGAUGGUCACAGUAA
ensembl:lncRNA